UCGCGCUGCUAAGCUGUGCGCAGCUUGCUCGUUUGCCCGGAAGAAGAGACAGCCGCCAUCAUUUCACCACCACGCAGCUUCUGACCUCAUGCCACCGCCGUUGCGCCGCAAAAAUAUUUUAGUUUUCUGACGUUUUCUUCCCCUGAACUGCCUAAAACAAAUACGUGAGGGUACUGAUCCAAAUGUGUGUGGACCACGGCGUACCAGAGAAAACUACAACUCUGCUGUGAACCAUCUGCUAAUCAACAAUACAACAGACGUUGAUGGAGUAAAGUUUGGGUGGUGACACAGCUAAGACCUGCAUAUCUUUUCAAGAAAGUUGGUGUUCCUGACAUUUUCAAACCCCCAAGUUUAAACAACGUCAAGAAAUUAAUUCUCAAGGACUUCAGCAUUCUGUGUUGUUGUGAACAUCAUCAGAAUGAAGAGAAUGAGAAGCAAACCAGUGUCAAGAAGAUUACCCACUAAAGACGGAAUCAAACCUUGGCAGGACAUUUUGCGUGGAGGAGACGAUGAACAGGAAAAGAUGGUGCAGCAACAACUGAUCCAAAUCCAGCAGACUCGCUGAUAGCAACAUACCUACAGACAGGGCCCCAAAACUGGCUCUAGUCCAAGAAUUUCAGUAAACAAAUUAAAUAAAUGAAUAACACAUUAAA